rnacentral:rRNA from 1 species
UCGGCGGCGGCAAUGGCGGCCUCGCUCCCAAACGACGUCCUCUUCGAGAUCCUGCUCCGACUGAACGACGCGGCGGACCUCUUCCGCUGCGCCGCCGCGUGCAAGCGACUGCGCGGCCUCGUCACCGAUCCAUCCUUCCUCCGGCGCAGGUGGCCGGAGCACGAGCGCCCAUCCUUGGCCGGAUUGUUCAUCAAGGAUCGGGGCCGUUAUCAAGGGUCCAAGGUGCUCGUCCCGACGCCGCGGUCCGAGCUGGGUCCAGGCCGCCGCCGUGCCCUCGGCUCCUUCGUUCCCGGCGUCUCUGGAGACCUAUUAUACCACGCGGUGCCGCUCUUCUCCAUCGUGACCGGCGACGACGAGGAACCACGGGGCAAUUCGCCGCUCUUCAAAGUGAUGGUCAUCACCGUCAGCUGCAAGGACGACCUCAAGUUCUACCUUAACACGUUCUCGUCCGACGAACCGAGCUGGAGCGCCAUGCGCACGGUGUCCUUUGGCGCUACCAUAGAUGCCAACGCCUCCGGGUCGUUCUGCCACAGUGAUGCCGUCGUGCGCCACGGCACCGCGCACUGGCUAUUUCGUAACGAGACGGCACGAUGUUUCUGCCUUGUUGAGGUGAACGCCCAGAACGGCCAUGUCUCCUUCACGAGGCUCCCCGUCCCGAUGAUGACCGAAGUAGAUUACCCGUGCCUUUGCUCAGCCACCGAUGGCACGCUCUCGGUGCUACACAUGCAAUGGCAAGGUUCCCAUAUAGAGAUAUGGAAACGACGGGAGGACCAACAGAGCGUGCGUACUGCCUCAGAAUGGCUCCGCACUGGGACGAUCGAGCUAAUACAGCCUAGAAAAGAGACUCAAGAAAGGUUAUACAUUGUGGGAGAGAAGUAUGGUAAAUUGAUCGCCAAGGACAGGCGCGGACGCGUGUACACCGGCAACCUCUCGACCGGGGUAAUGGAGGAGGUGGUGGAUUGGCCUCGCAUGUGCCACAUCAACACGCCCAAUGUUGUGCCCUUGGAGAUGGAUUGGCCAGCGUUCUUUGUUUCUCGUCUUGGU